rnacentral:lncRNA from 1 species
UCUAAAUUCACAUUUUGGCUAGCAUCAAUACUAGCCUCACUCACCUGGUCUUGGUAUAGGUCAUUAAGAAUCCUAUCACUUUUAAGCUCAGAAAUUGCAUUGUCACUUUCAAAUUGGGGAUUCUUAGGUGGGACAUUGGAUUGAUGACUUGGUCCAGGUAGUUGGUGGAUGGGUGGGUCAUUUUCAAAAUUCGGUAUUGGUUCAUUUGGU